CCUCUGCCACAAUCAGGUCUCGGGUAACCUGAAAAGCAGCAAUGAGGGAGCUCAGCUGAAUCUUCUCACUGGUGCCAACAGAAAGCCUGUACCUAAAAUAAAACAAACAGGAGAAUAAAGAACAUCACAGAGAGCUGCCUGUGGGUAAGAGAACUGGAGAGCAAAGGAGGGGCGUGGGAGCUGAUCCAAAAUGAUCCUUGACAGCAAACUCAGGUGUCCUUGACACUCCCUCCUUACUCUAAUACUGGUUUAGUAAUCUGAAACUUGAAGACAAAUUUUAAAUCUACCCACAGCAGUGUUCUGGACUUAGUUUGUUCUAACUCUCUAGAGGGGCAUAAUUCAUGUGAUUAAGGGUUAUUUCUUCUACCAGCUGCACUAAGAGGAAUUAAAAUGGAGAUUUCCUUCCUUGUAACUGACAUUUCACUGUGAAGUUGGGCUGAUACUUAUGGGAGUCUGUGGUCUAGUAAGUAGAGCAGGACACAGGCAGUUCAUCUUUACACCUUUUAAGUGCCCAGCCAUCAAAAGCAAAAUCAUACAGCAUAGUGAUAAGUGACCUAAUUUGUACACAUGAAAGCUUAGUGACAGCAAAUUAGAGUUGGCCUAUACUGAUGUCUAGUUUGAACCCAAUGCUCUGUCUACUUAAAUGAUAGCUGCCAGCUUCACUAGGGGCUAAUAACAGUGUUUACUGAACCAGGCAAAGUGGAAAAUUGAGUUUGUGUUGACUUUUCCCCCCUAAUAUGUUUCAGUAUGCCAAAAUGCCUGGAGAGCUGGUCGUCCCCAAAUGACCUACAAGCCUGAACUGGAACACGUCUCCCCCCAAACGAGAGCAUCUUCAGAAUGUGGGUGAAGCCUUUGAGGCCAAAGGAAAGGCCCUCAUCUCAAAUAUGUAACUGAUCUGCUUGGCCUUGUGCUGACUUAAAUAAGCAUCUCCAUCCUCUGCCACAUCCCAUUUACUGUCAUCCCAAACUAGAUUAUACCACAAAUGAGGUGAUCAAGAAUGCUAAGCCCACACAAGUGGAAAGAAAAACCUCACAACAGGGGUGCGCUGGGGGCGGAAAAGAAUUAAAACUGGGAAAUUCAUACUCACUCAAUGUCUGCCAUUUUGGUCAGUAAAUGUAUUCGAACUGAUGAUGGAAAGUCCACUGAGGGAAAACAAAAUCAAAUGAGCAUGGGCUCCCCCUACUACCACCACCCCAAAAGGAAAAAACCCAGAGGAAAAGUAUACUUUUAACACUGAACUUCUCCCGACAAGUAUGAGUUUAAACAUCAAGUAGUAAGAGUGGACUUCUGAGGCCUCAGACUGAUCACAAGUUCCCAGAUCUCUACGAAAGUAAAAAUGGUGGAGUUUCAUACUUUUCAUUCACUAUUUUGUAAUUCUUAAUAGUGUAGUUUAAAAAAGUGUGUGUGUGAGUGUGAGUAUGUAUAUGAGAUCCCACAGUGACAAGGAGAACACAGAAGGGCCAGCAACACUGCCUUUUUUGGGUGGCUCUACAAGGUAACUGGAGAGCCGAGUUCUCAGUUUCAGGAACACCCAUGGCAGCUGGCUCUACACAGGCCAGCCCAGUCCCCGACCCAGGUGGCCUCCCAUCUGUGGAGACUGAGGAGGGAAGAGCUCUAAACCACUGAGCAGGGGAUCACACAGAAGCCUGAAAAAAUGCUGCAUCCAGCUCCUCCCCAGAGCUGACUCAAUGCCUCGUGUGAUCCCUAGGUGCUGCCCAGGCUGAGAAUCCACUCUACAGAAGGUUCCAGCAAGCAUGGAGCUAGAGAUGGGUCCUUAAGAUUGCUUUGGCUGACAUUAAGACAGACUCCCCUCCUCCUCUCCUCAGGUCAGGAGAGGCUGGCAGCACCUGCAGAAGGGACUCGGCAGCAUGUGGUUUACAGCGACAGAGGAGGAGGAAAUUGGGACAGCUUCCAGGGGAGGAGGAUGGAAUCGAGAAGAGUCAAAUGACUUUUAUGAGGAAUACUGUCCAAGAGAUAUCAGAGAAAACGACAGCAGCUGGUGGCCCCGAUACUUCCCCUGAGCCAGGCAUUCUGCUAAGUCAUUUACAACAUCACCAGCCAGCGAGCCAGGGUCCCACCUGUGCUCCACUCAAUCCCAAGACCUCGACUUUCCUGCUUUACAGUGUACUCACUUCUCUUCUUCUAUGACAUGUUCCAGGCGGGGAACCAUGAGUUCAGGUGUCAGGGGACCAAACCGGAACCUCGUACACCGAGACUGCAAGGCGGGGAUGAUCUUGGAUAGAUAGUUACA